AACGAACGCUGGCGGCGUGCUUAACACAUGCAAGUCGAGCGAGAAAGGGAGCUUCGGCUCCUGAGUAAAGCGGCGCACGGGUGAGUAACACGUGGGUAACCUGCCUUUCAGUGGGGGAUAACAGUUCGAAAGGGCUGCUAAUACCGCAUUCGUCCACACGGUCACAUGUCUGUGUGGAGAAAGAGGCGCAAGUCUCGCUGGAAGAUGGGCCCGCGGUCCAUUAGCUAGUUGGUGGGGUAAAGGCCUACCAAGGCUUCGAUGGAUAGCUGGUCUGAGAGGAUGAUCAGCCACACUAGGGACUGAGACACGGCCCAGACUCCUACGGGAGGCAGCAGUGGGGAAUAUUGGACAAUGGGCGCAAGCCUGAUCCAGCAAUGCCGCGUGUGUGAAGAAGGCCUGCGGGUUGUAAAGCACUUUCAGUGGGGAAGAACAGAUUCGGGUCAAUACCCCGGAGCCCUGACGUUACCCACAGAAGAAGCACCGG
rnacentral:rRNA from 1 species